UAGGAAAUCUUCGGCAAUGGACGAAAGUCUGACCGAGCAACGCCGCGUGAGUGAAGAAGGUUUUCGGAUCGUAAAACUCUGUUGGUAGAGAAGAACGUUGGUGAGAGUGGAAAGCUCAUCAAGUGACGGUAACUACCCAGAAAGGGACGGCUAACUACGUGCCAC
rnacentral:rRNA from 1 species